AUUUUUAACUAGGGGUGCUUACCUAAAUGUAGGCUGAGAGAUAAAGUUUAUCAACCCUUGUACCUGAUGUGGAUAAUGCCAACGUAGGAAAAGUUAUUAGUUAUAAGA
rnacentral:ncRNA from 2 species